CAAGGGAGCAGAUCUCUCGACACCCGAUGGGUCUCCGUUCCGGCAGCUGUCCGUGUCAGGAGCGCUGGGCUUGCUCCUCCCUAUGGGAACCAUCACAGAGGCCUCGGGCAGUCUGCAUAGACGACUGCCUGGCAGGUGACCAGGAGGGGAUGAAUGAGCAGAUGCAGAUGAAAUUCUGCUGCAAGUGUUUUCCAAGGUUCCGUAUGACCCAUCAUUUGAUGAAACAAGAACAGCAGUCAGAUCCAUUACAAAGAGAGACACACAAAAAA
rnacentral:sRNA from 1 species